ensembl:lncRNA
GUUAAAAGCACUUUAUGUUUUGUAGAUGUAUUUUUUCAGACAGGGCACACAGUUCUGUUUCCUUUGUGGGAAAACCUUCGAACUUCACCAUCCUCAGCUGAAACAACAACAUCUUAACACCAUCUUCAUGAACUGCUGAGCCAAACCUGAUCCAUCAGUGCUGGACUGCACAGAUAACUACACGCCACAAGGAGACUGCUGUGUUAUGAACUGCCAUAUCAGUGUGUCUUUAAUGGAGAAGAUGACACACCCAUCACCUGACCUCCUGCCUGAUCUGGAGACCAUCACCAUGCUGCCACACUACACACCUCUGAGACGAUCAAUGAUGACUGAUACUGAGGAAACUGUAUUUCCUGUCAGAGAUGCUCAGUGAUCGUCAGAGCAGAGAGAGGUACUGCUGUCUUCUGAGUCCUCAGUGUCCCAACUGAAACAUUCAAACCUCAUUACAGAGCUCAUGUCUUUCCUCACCAUCAUGUGAGUGUGAGAUUGCUCUGGAUUCUGGUUAUGUGGCCUGCAGCACCUAUAAGAACAAGCUCGUCCUGUGUGCCUGCAUUCCAGCUUCUUAGACUCUACGCAA